rnacentral:lncRNA from 1 species
GUUUCAAAAAUACUUUACUAAACUUUUGAGUUGCUGUGGGCCAGUUUCCAGGAAUUACUUUGUAAGAUUCAUCAUGCAUUUAAUGUAAGCAUAAGAUAUGAAAUAAACAAUGGUGGACAUCAUCUUUUAAACCAACUAACAUUUUGUUAAAGAUUUUUUGAACCACAGUUAAUGAAAAAAAACACUUGUAAUUUGGAGGUUUAUUGUGUACAUUGUUUAUGUGGCAUGUAUAUGUCAUGUACAAGUUGUUAUUUUGUACAGGUUAUUACUUGUACAAAAAUUUUAUACAAGUAAUUACUUGUAUGAAGUCAUCAUACAGGUUAUUUCUUGUACAAAUACAAUUGUACAAGUAAUUACUAGGACAAUUGUACUCAGAAAAAGAUAAUACCUUGUACAAAUCAUUAUUCUACUAUGACAUAUUUGAUUUUAACAUGAAAUCAUUUCACUUUAAAGAAAUAAUUUAUUACUUAGCCUUAGGCUGUUGAACUGUUACGCCACUCUCCCAGGUUAGCAAAGUAAGAUCUACAAAUAAAUCAACAUGACCAGAAUGGUCAAUUGACCCCUUAAGGAGUUAUUGUCCUUUAUAGUAAAAGUUGUAAUCUUACAAAAAUCUCCUCCUCUGAAACUACUGAGACAAAUUUAGCCAAACUUGGUCACAAUCAUUAUUAGGAUACUUUUAAAAAAAAUAUGUUCGAUGAAAGCACCUGCCAACCAACAUGGCAGACAUAGCUAAAAAUAGAACAUAGUCAUAAAAUGCAGUUUUUGACUAAUAUCUCUGAAACUUAAGCAUUUACAGCAAUUUUGACAUUGAUAAAAAUGUUUAUCAGGUUAGAUAUAUUUGUCCUGAAAUUUUCAGACAAAUCAGACAAACUGUUUUAGGUUGCUGUUCCUGAAUUAGUAUUAGUUAUUAUUUUGAAUAUUAUUAUAGAUAGAGAUAAUUUGUAAACAGCAAUAAUGUUCAGCAAGGUAAAUUCUACAAAUAAGUCAACAUGACCAAAAUGAUCAAUUGACCCCAUAAGGAGUUAUUUCCCUUUAAAGUCAAAUUUAAUAAUUUUUCGUUAAUUUUUGUAAAUUUUUACAAAAGUCUUCUCCUGAAAUAACUGAGACAAAUUUAACCAAAGUUGGCCACAAAUAAGCAGAAGGGCAUUUAGAUUUUAAAAAUGUGUUCGACAUAGCUAAAAAUAGAACAUAGGGGAAAAUUCAGUUUUUGACUUGUAUCUCUGAAACUAGAGCAAAGGUAUAACGGUUGCAUUCUGGAGAGAGCGGGAGUGGAUCGUAACCCUUGGCUAGCGAAGAUGUAUUUUAUGCAUCAAUUGUAAAUAAAAAUAUCAUGUGAGCGACCCAGGCUCCUUGGAGCCUCUAGUUAAUAAUUAUCAAGAUGUUUGAUUUCUUGAUUGACAACUAAUUUAUUACUUUGGGUGGACGUGUUUUUCAAUAAACUAUAAGUAUUUCAAUAGUGAAACAAACUGUGACCAUUUUCCUGCCUACUUGUUACUUUAUUCUUCUGAGGCUGACUUCUUAAGGGAACUUCUUAAGAAGAAAGAAAAGAAGUUAGCAGUAUCCUGUAACUUUACUUUCUGCUAUAUAGAUGAUGUUCUCUCACUAAAUAAUUGAAGUUAACAUCAGGAAAGCAGAACAAUUGCAAUUGCAAAUGGUGGCCAUGGCCAUGUCGGGGUGGCUGUAAAACAGGCAAAUGUAUAUCUGUUUGGCUAAAUUUGCCCAAGGUGUCAUGUUAGCUUAUGUUAUUAUUGCAUUCGUAUGAAAUCUUCUAACAUUUCAAAAUCAACACAAACACUUGAAAGAAAAAAAAAACUAUAUAAAAUUUCAAAAUACAUACACUGAGUGAUAUCUACUAAGAAAAAAUAAACAAACAUGAAAUAAAAACCGUGACAAAUGACAAAAAUAUCCCAAACUAACAAAGCCAAAAAAAGGAGUGUUUGAAUAAAACAUUUGAAACAGAAGAAGUUACAAAUACAACUCAAAGAUAGUGAGUUGUACAAGUUAUUAUCUUUUUCUUCACAAAAAUUGUACAAGUAAUUACUUGUAUAGUUAUAUUUGUACAUGUUAUAACUUGUAUGGUGGCAUCAUACAAGUUAUUACUUGUACAAAGUAUUUGUACAAGUUAUAACCGGUACAAAAUAAUGAUAUACACAAGACAUAUAUAUAUAUAUAUAUUUAUUUAGUGAAUGAUAAAUGUUAGAUUUCAAUAUUAUUUAUAAUGAGGUUCAUGGUUAUCACUAAUCAAGCCACAUUUCAAGAAAAUGACACCCAUGAAGCAAUUUCCAUUUACAGUAUGAAAUAGCCACUACAAGCUUUGAGGAGAGAAUUAUCCUGUAACAAUGGAUAACCACUACCCUUUAGUUUAAUGAUUUAUCCUAAGUAUUCCAGAAAGAGUGCAAUAACGGACAGCAUCUUCCAGAAACAUUAAUUUUAAACAAAUUACUGAAUAUUUUGCAGACCAUGAAUGAGAGAAAAUACUUAUUUAAUUUUCUUAUCUUCCUUAAACAUCCUCUUAAGUCAGGAGCCUGUAAUUUAGUGGUUGUCGUUUGUUUUAUGUCUUACAUAUUUGUUUUUUCAUUUUUUUAUAUAAAUAAGGCCAUUAGUUUUCUUGUUUGAAUUGUUUUACAUUGUCUUAUCAGGGUCUUUUAUAGCUGACUAUGCGGUAUGGGCUUUGCUCAUUGUUGAAGGCUGUACGGUGACCUAUAGUUGUGAAUGUAUGUGUCAUGUUGGUCUCUUGUGGACAGUUGUCUCAUUGGCAAUCAUACCAUAUCUUCUUUUUUAUAUCUCCAUAGUGAAAUUAUCUCCCUUAAACAUGUAACAUCCUCUCCAUUGUAAAAUUAUCUCCCUUAAACAUUAAAAUCCUCUCCAUAGUGAAAUUAUCUCCCUUAAACAUCUAACAUUCUCUCCAUUGUGAAAUUAUCUCUCUAAAACAUCUUAAAUCCUCUCCAUAGUGAAAUUAUCUCCCCUUAACAUCUAACAUUCUCUCCAUUGUGCAAUUAUCUCCCUAAAACAUUUUAAAUCCUCUCCAUAGUGAAAUUAUCUCCCCUAAACAUCUAACAUUCUCUCCAUAGUGAAAUUAUCUCCCUUAAACAUCUAACAUUCUUUCCAUAGUGAAGUUAUCUCUUCUGUACUGAUAGGAUUUAAUUUCAAAUUUUGAGAAACUCCGUUAAAAAGUAUUUUUAUGUUAUCCACAAUAAAAGAAGUUAGCUUCUUUUGGUGGCCUAAUUUUAUAUUUUUUUGGGACUGCCUUACAUGAUUCACAAUAACAAAAGUGACUUCUCUUGAAUUAUUGAUAUUAUUUUUUUCAGACUGUGUUUUAUUUUAGGCAACAACAAUAUUAAUAUAAGUAACUUCUUUAAUCUACUUAUAUUAUAUUUUUCAGUUUAUAUAUAUGCACCUGUUUUUCUAACAAUUAAAGGUAAUUUCCAUUUAAUGAUUUUAUUUUCAGACCAUGAAUUUGAAUCCACAUUAACUGCAGUUACCUCCCUUUAAUAAUUUGAUAUUUUUCAGACUGUGUAUACCAAUGUGUUUUAUACUAGCUACAAUAAUGGGAGGAAUCUCUUUAUUUACCACAGCAAUGAUUUAUUUAGUGGUAGGUGAUCAACUACAAUGUAUUUAAUGUCAGA